rnacentral:rRNA from 1 species
UGGGGAAUCUUGCGCAAUGGGGGAAACCCUGACGCAGCGACGCCGCGUGGAGGAUGAAGGUCUUCGGGUUGUAAACUCCUUUUCUUGGGGAAAAUGAUGAUGGUACUCAUGGAAUAAGCCACGGCUAACUCUGUGCCAGCAGCCGCGGUAAGACAGAGGUGGCGAGCGUUGUUCGGAAUUACUGGGCUUAAAGGGCGAGUAGGCGGUAGAGCAAGUCUGAGGUGGAAUCCUAUGGCUUAACCAUAGAAUUGCCUUAGAAACUGCUUUACUUGAGUCAGUGAGGGGAGGGCGGAAUUCCUGGUGUAGCGGUGAAAUGCGUAGAUAUCAGGAGGAAGGCCUGUGGCGAAAGCGGCCCUCUGGCACUGUACUGACGCUGAGGCGCGAAAGCGUGGGGAGCAAACAGGAUUAGAUACCCUGGUAGUCCACGCCGUAAACGAUGUCAACUAGGUGUUGGGAUGGUUAAUCGUCUCAUUGCCGCAGCUAACGCAUUAAGUUGACCGCCUGGGGAGUACGGUCGCAAGAUUA